rnacentral:rRNA from 1 species
GGGGAAUAUUGGACAAUGGGCGCAAGCCUGACCCAGCAACGCCGCGUGAGGGAAGAAGGUUUUCGGAUUGUAAACCUCUGUCCUAUGUGACGAAGGAAGUGACGGUAGCAUAGGAGGAAGCCCCGGCUAACUACGUGCCAGCAGCCGCGGUAAUACGUAGGGGGCGAGCGUUGUCCGGAAUUACUGGGCGUAAAGGGUGCGAGGCGGUUUGGUAAGUUGGAUGUGAAAUACCCGGGCUUAACUUGGGGGCUGCAUCCAAUACUGUCGGACUUGAGUGCAGGAGAGGAAAGCGGAAUUCCUAGUGUAGCGGUGAAAUGCGUAGAUAUUAGGAGGAACACCGGUGGCGAAGGCGGCUUUCUGGACUGUAACUGACGCUGAGGCACGAAAGCGUGGGGAGCAAAC